rnacentral:rRNA from 1 species
AAGCAACGCGAAGAACCUUACCAGGUCUUGACAUCCCACUGCCCGCUAUGGAGACAUAGCUUUCCCUUCGGGGACAGUGGUGACAGGUGGUGCAUGGUUGUCGUCAGCUCGUGUCGUGAGAUGUUGGGUUAAGUCCCGCAACGAGCGCAACCCUUGAUCUUAGUUGCCAGCAUUUAGUUGGGCACUCUAAGGUGACUGCCGGUGACAAACCGGAGGAAGGUGGGGAUGACGUCAAAUCAUCAUGCCCCUUAUGACCUGGGCUACACACGUGCUACAAUGGAUGGUACAAAGGGAAGCAAAACCGUGAGGUCAAGCAAAUCCCAUAAAACCAUUCUCAGUUCGGAUUGCAGGCUGCAACUCGCCUGCAUGAAGCCGGAAUCGCUAGUAAUCGUGGAUCAGCAUGCCACGGUGAAUACGUUCCCGGGCCUUGUACACACCGCCCGUCACACCACGAGAGUCGGUAACACCCGAAGUCGGUGAGGUAACCAUUUGGAGCCAGCCGCCGAAGGUGG